UUGCCUGCUAUAGGGAAGGCGGCUGCCAUGUUGUGAGAGCAUUCAAGUAGACCUAUAGAGAGGUGUGGUAAGGAACUGAGGCCUCCAGUCAACAGCCAUCUUGUGAGUGAACCAUCCAGAAAACAGAUCAGCCAAGCCAAGUCCAGACAGCUCAACGCAAUCUCAUGAAAGAUACCAAGGUGGAGCCCUGCGCUAAUGAGGAAAACCAGGGCGUCAGAAUAUUGCUCUCCUCUGAUAGAAAGCAUCCUGCUGACCGCUGUACCUGGGCAGAGCCCAGUGCUGUGCACACAGAAACAUCCUGAUCUCACCGACCAGGUCUGCUUUGGGUUCUUUUUGUCCAGUAAUGAACAUGAGAGGUUAGUGUCUGGACAUGAUGAGGUGGUGAGACAAGAAGUCAAUAGUUUUUUUUUUUUUUCUACGUGACCUUAGAACACGUAUUUGGAGAACACUUCUCAAUAACAGAAAAUAACUCAUUGAUUUUUAGAAAUUCUUAUGGCCGACAGAUUGAGAUGUGAGGAACAUCAUUCUGCUAAUAUUUAGGAACAUCAGAUAAGUUAUAAGACAGACUCUGGCUCUCAGCAUAUUUCUGAGCAGGAUCAAAGAGGAGGCAGACAGAUUGCAAAAUCAGCAGAGUAUUCAGAGGGCGACUGGGGCUCUGCUGGGCACAGCCCACCCAGACUGCAUCUCCCGUCCAUCCUUAGUGAGAGCUCACUCUUAAAUCUGGCCAGGGAAGGCAGGCCAUGUCUUCUGUGACAUCUGUAUCCCCAGUCACAGAGCACAGCCCGCCCACUGGGAACUUAAGGCUUCCUUAUCUGCUUGCUCUUUUUUCAUUCUUCUGUGAUUAGCAAAACUUAACAGCACUGUCCUAUGCAACUUUGUGUGAUGAUGGAGAUGUUCUCCUGCACUGUCAAGACAGUGGCCGGCAGUGCACGUGGAUACUAAGAACCUGAAAUAAGGCAAGUGCAAGAGGAACUGAAGCUUUUCUCUCCUGUAAUCCUAAUUAAUUUAAAUUUGCAUGGCCACAUGUGGCUAAUAGUUGUCACUCUGGGCAGGACAGUGGUAGAAAACAGGAACCAUUGCCCAUCGGCACACCAACUCAUCUUUAGAAAGAUUUUAUGAGUCUCAUUUCUCAUAUGAGCAUAUUUAAGGCUCACGGGGGUAAGUGACAUGCCCAUGAUCAAAAAGCUGGUAAAGGGCAGAGAAGAAUUUACACUUAACCUGCCAGACCCAGCCUCCACUCCUGCAAUGACGUCAAACUGCAUUCCUCCAUAUUCGUGUAAAAGCAGCCUCUAAGGCAAGUAUCAGCCUCUGAAAACUCCAAAUUCUCAGUAAAUAGCUAUGAAAGGAAGCUGGCCAUGUGUGGCAGGAUUCCUUCCAACAAAAACACAUGGGAAAAUAUUUCUCUCCAGCUAUGACUAUCUAUGUGAGUCUUUCAACUGCACAUUGCUGUAAGUAUAUCUGACAGCCCCCACUGUGCUCUAAAACUUCUGCUCCAAGCAAGUAGAAGCCCCAUGAAUUCGUGAGAAGGCAACAAUAUGAAAAUGAUUUUAUUAAACUUCUGCCACAUCCUGUUACGCUGUCUAAGCAUUAUGCUCUCCUACUUACCCUUUGCUGACAAACUGGAUUAUACUUUCUUUCCUAAAGCAACAGGAUCCCACGAAACUGUGCAAAAGAUAAAGAUACUACGAUUUCAAAAAACUGAUUUGGACACAGAGUGUCAAAGCACAUGACACUAUCCUAUGGUCACAAAUUCAGCUCCUCAAUCUGGUAUCACAUAAACAAUGUGAAUGGGUGAGUGGCUAGUGGAUCACAGAUGACCCAGGUGGGGUCUGUGUGUCUUCCCCCUUGAAUCCAGUGGGGCCUUGACUACUCUGACCCGCAGAAGAGUGCAAGUGACAUUGUGCAGGUCUCUAGGCCUCAACCUUAAGAAACAGGCAGCUUCUAUUUCCUGCCUUUUGGCACACUUGCCAGGGGCCAUGAGCUCCCAUGUAAGAAGCCCGAGUACCCUGAGACCACCAUGCAAGAGACCACGUGCAGGCACAAAGUCAAUAGUCCUGGCUGAGCCCGCCCUCCCAGCCAUCUGCGCCACAGGGGCCAACCAUGGGAGUGUAGCCAUCCCAUGAAGCAGGUGAAUACCAUGAAGUGAUUCCCACUGAAGCCUGUGGAACAGAAGAAUAACCCAGCCAAGCCUGUCCUGACCCACAAAACCGACAGAAAAUAAAACAGUUUUUGCUGUACACCUUGCAAUUCUGGGGGCAGUUAUCACGUACCAAUAGAAAACUGGAAAAAAACAGAGUGUUUCUACUAUCUUCAGCUUAUCUAUGCUUCCUCUAAAACCAACUUUUAAUUGUUCUGAUUAAAUAACAUAACUGUA